GAUGUGACAGUAUGACUCGGAGCAGUGGGUGUGGGGCUGUCUGGUUCCCAUUGCUGCCCCGCCCUUUUGUAAAUGGGGAAAUUAACACGGCUCCAUAAAUAGGGUGCAGUGGUUAAUGGCGGAAAGCUGCUCCUCCGUAGACGCUGCGAAUUCCAGCUCCGUGUCUGGUCAUUGUCUCCCCAGGGUCCUUCGCACUUGCUGACAUCGUGCUACAGCACCGAUACAGCUUGUGUUGUCCGGCAUGCACUCAUCCACUGCUCUGCUCAGUAAUCGUGGGUUCGCGAAGCUCCCCCUUUCAGCAGUCAUCCAUCUCAUCCUAGCGCUUGGGUAGGCCUCUCCUCGCUCUCUCGUAAUUGCACGGUAGGUUUAUUAAGGUAGUAUUUCAGUAUUUGAUGUUAAUUAAGACAUUGUAUUGACGCUGUAUCUGUUGUAGG